AUUGAACGCUGGCGGCAUGCUUUACACAUGCAAGUCGAGCGGGGUUUUCGGACCUAGCGGCGGACGGGUGAGUAAUGCGUAGGAAGCUACCCGAUAGAGGGGGAUACCAGUUGGAAACGACUGUUAAUACCGCAUAAUGUCUACGGACCAAAGUGUGGGACCUUCGGGCCACAUGCUAUCGGAUGCGCCGACGUGGGAUUAGCUAGUUAGUGAGGUAAUGGCUCACCAAGGCGACGAUCCCUAGCUGGUUUGAGAGGAUGAUCAGCCACACUGGAACUGAGACACGGUCCAGACUCCUACGGGAGGCAGCAGUGGGGAAUAUUGGACAAUGGGCGCAAGCCUGAUCCAGCCAUGCCGCGUGUGUGAAGAAGGCCUUCGGGUUGUAAAGCACUUUCAGUAGGGAGGAGGCGUUGUGUGUUAAUAGUACACAGCGUUGACGUUACCUACAGAAGAAGCACCGGCUAACUCUGUGCCAGCAGCCGCUGUAAAAC
rnacentral:rRNA from 1 species